GGGGACGAAAGGGGUCGACAGCGGUACACGGACACGGUUUGCGGGUCGAGGCGCCACCAACCUCGUAAAACCGGUGGCACCUUCAUAACAGGCGAUAAAGAACUCGCCCUCGCCGCCUAACAGGCGGUGACGUUGUCCCCGGCUCACGCCUGGCGAGCUGGGAGACGGCGCCGAAAUGCCGGGCUGCAAUUGCGGGCGCGCGUCUCAGGCCUCGCAACCAAGACUACUGAGACUGGCCGGCAGUCUCCCUCGUCGGCGCAGGGAUGCCGGUAAGAACCCGCCGCCGACUACGCCCGUAGCAGAUCCGUGACGGAGGCUUGCUGGACGGGGAGUUCAAUUCUCCCCCGUCUCCACCA
rnacentral:tmRNA from 1 species